AGCUCCAAUAGCGUAUAUUAAAGUUGUUGCAGUUAAAAAGCUCGUAGUUGAACCUUGGGCCUGGCUGGCCGGUCCGCCUCACGGCGUGCACUGGUCCGGCUGGGCCCCUCCUUCUGGGGAGCCCCAUGCCCUUCAUUGGGUGUGGGGGGAACCAGGACUUUUACUGUGAAAAAAUUAGAGUGUUCAAAGCAGGCCUUUGCUCGGAUACAUUAGCAUGGAAUAAUAGAAUAGGGCGGGCCCCCUAUUUUGUUGGUUUCUAGGGGAGCCGCAAUGAUUAAUAGGGACAGUCGGGGGCAUCAGUAUUCAAUCGUCAGAGGUGAAAUUCUUGGAUCGAUUGAAGACUAACUACUGCGAAAGCAUUUGCCAAGGAUGUUUUCA
rnacentral:rRNA from 1 species